rnacentral:rRNA from 1 species
CGACCGGCGCACGGGUGAGUAACGCGUAUGCAACCUGCCUGAUACCGGGGUAUAGCCCAUGGAAACGUGGAUUAACACCCCAUAGUACUUUUAUCCUGCAUGGGAUGUGAGUUAAAUGUUCAAGGUAUCGGAUGGGCAUGCGUCCUAUUAGUUAGUUGGCGGGGUAACAACCCACCAAGACGAUGAUAGGUAGGGGUUCUGAGAGGAAGGUCCCCCACAUUGGAACUGAGACACGGUCCAA